rnacentral:rRNA from 1 species
GUCAAACUUUAGUGGGGGAGUCACGCAGCAGAAUAACACGCUCAGCAGCAUUACGAGUGGUGAAAUACAGAAAUAUAUACCUCUGCCCGUGUGUGUCACUAUUAAAAACACUGCUGCUAAACAGGGAUUAGAGACCCCUUUAUACAAGUGCUUACUAUAUUUUGCGGAGUACUACGACUAUUAGAGUUAAAACUUAAACAACAUGGCGGUAACUUCAACUUAGGGGAACUUACCUUGUAAAUGAUAACCACCAAGGUAAAGUAACUACUAAAAAAUCUUGUAUGCCGUCGUCGCAGGUAGCACUUAAUGUUCUACCAGAAUAGUUGUCUAAGAAGACAGAUCAAGGUGCAGACAAUUUAGUAGUAACGGCGAGUUACAAUUUCGGUUGUUAACGGAUAGUUUAUGUAAAAACAUGUUGAAGGUGGACUUAACAGUAAUAGAGAAGACCAAUAAUCUAUGAACUAUAUGAAGUUGUGCACAA